rnacentral:lncRNA from 1 species
UUUCACUUUGGGAUGAUAACACAGGUUUGGAAUGGAUACUGGUGAUAGUUGCACAACAAUGUAUUUCUACUUAAUGUACUUAAAUUUUCUCUUAUACAUAUUUCACCACAGAAAAAAAAUUAGCAAAUAUUUAAAAAUCUACAUGUUUCUUUGAACUGUUUCUUUACGUCCCUUGUCCAUUUUUCAAUUUGGCUGUUGGUCUUUUAAUAAUUUAGGAUAGCUAUAUAGCUAUAUAUAUACAUAUAUAUUACACAAAUUAGCUUUUUGUCUGUCAUGUAUGUUGCAGAUCUGUUUCCCCAGUCUGUUGACUUUUGACUUUGAUGCAUUUUUCUUGCCUAUAAAGUUUUAAUUUUUAUGGAGUCAAAUGCAUCAGUCUUCUAUUCAAAGACUUAUUUAUGGGUUUGGUGUUUCAGUUUAGGAUGAAAAAGAAGUUGUAGAUAUGGAUAAAGGAGAUGGUUGUACAACACAUUAUAUUGGACCACUCAACUGUACGUUUAAACAUGGUUAAAAUGGCAUGUAUCAAACCAAGAAAGCGGCUAGGAGGGCAACACAUCUACCUGUAUACAGGGAGCUAUGAAAUACGUGAGCUGCGCAAGUGAUGCACAAGGAAACGGAAGCAGUAUGACCUUUACACAGUGACCUGGCUCAAAUAAUUUCAGGCUGUCAUUAACCAGGCGAGCUCCACUUUCUCUCUGAGGUUGGGUGUUAAUCUGAUGUGGUGCUCUUGGAGAAGCUUGCUUGAGUUCGGCGCUUUCUCAGCACGUGGUGUGUGCUGCCCCUUCAAGCUGCAGGAGUCCCAGAAACUCUCCUGGCUUCUAUCCAAAGCUGUGUUCCAGGUGGGGAACACCUAUGGAUGCACCAGGGUGCAACUACUCAGAGUCCAGUGUGCAGAAGGGCCCCUGCUCUAUGCUGUUUCCGUAUCCAAGCCCAAGCUCUUCUAGAGCUUCAGCAAAUCCAAGCCUCCCUGAAUUCCCUGCAAGACCAAACUGAGCCCUACAACCCCCACCACUCUGGUUAGCUGCCAGUCCCAGCCCCUGUUCCCUCCUGGGCCCCUGUCUGUACAGUUCUGAAGUCCUACAAGAAUGUUGAGAUCCUAAGCCGACUCUCACCCAAAGAGGUAAACAACCAGGGGCCUCCAGGUUGAGAGAAUAUACCCAGACAGGUUCUGCUGCCUGUAGGCUUGAUGUCUUUCCCCUACAACACGCCUUGCUUGCCAGGCUGGAAGAGGGGCUCCAGAAACUUGGGAAACCUGGGCCUGUAGCUGGCAUGUGGAAAAGAGGCCUGGAAAAGCACCAUUCCUGUCCAUGAAGCCCCCAGAUGGAACCAGGUCCUGUUCAGAAACCCCAUCUGUGCCUUUGGAGGGACUGCCCUGCGCACACAGGCCCAGCAACCACCAUCUACGGCCCCCAGGACCUAAUCCCCUUCUACUUGGGAUUCAGUGCAUGUUAGCAGACACUGGGCUUGAUUCCUGCCUAGUCCCUGCCAGAUAUCCCAUGCCCACCUCAUUAAGAGAAUGAGGCCACACAAACACACCCAGGCCAUCGUGAUGAUGGAGUGCCUGGGGUCCCACUUGCCCACCCUUCAUUGCUGGUUCAGAGCCAGCUCUGACCACAUUCCUACCCUGAGAUGGGACUCUGGGGACAUUGUCCACCAGGGUCACUGACCCCUUUUAACGUUCCAGAAACAUGGCCAGCUGGUCCCCUAGAAGUUU